rnacentral:sRNA from 1 species
CUUCUACUGGGCAGCAGAUCAAGGACUCAGGCCAGUGUUGCUUCCGAUGUCCUGGAAAAGUGUUUUCUGAGCCUCCAGCACAUAAUGUUUUACUCUCUGAAGGAGGCUUAUUCUGAUUAGCUUAACAGAAAGAAUGGAAGAAAGGAAGUCUAUUGAUUCAGCUCCUUGGUCACGAGACAGGAAUUGCAAGGUGGAGGGAAGCUGUAAUUCCAACACGUCAGCUGUUGCCAGCAAACCGCAAUACACCGAGUCCCAUUGAUCCUGACACCAUCCAGGUCCCAGUGGGUUAUGAGCCAGACCCAGCAGAUCUUGCCCUCUCCAGCAUCCCUGGCCAGGAAAUGUUUGACCCUCGCAAACGCAAGUUCUCUGAGGAAGAACUGAAGCCACAGCCCAUGAUCAAGAAAGCUCGCAAAG